GGGGAAUUUUCCGCAAUGGGCGAAAGCCUGACGGAGCAAUACCGCGUGAGGGAGGAAGGCUCUUGGGUUGUAAACCUCUUUUCUCAAGGAAGAAUAUUGACGGUACUUGAGGAAUCAGCAUCGGCUAACUCCGUGCCAGCAGCCGCGGUAAUACGGAGGAUGCAAGCGUUAUCCGGAAUGAUUGGGCGUAAAGCGUCCGUAGGUGGCUGUGUGUGUCUAUUGUUAAAGAGUUUGGCUCAACCAAAUAAGGGCGGUAGAAACUACACAGCUAGAGUGCGUUCGGGGCAGAGGGAAUUCCUGGUGUAGCGGUGAAAUGCGUAGAGAUCAGGAAGAACACCGGUGGCGAAAGCGCUCUGCUAGGCCGCAACUGACACUGAGGGACGAAAG
rnacentral:rRNA from 1 species